UAUUUAUACAUAUAAUUUAAAAUGAAAAAGAAAGUAAUGAAUGCAUUAAGAAAUUUUUCAAGUUGUAAAAACAGAUUAGCGACUUUUUGGCUACUGCUGAUCGACGAACUUCGUUAAUCCGGUAGAAAGUGGCAUUUGUAUCUUGGUCUUCGACGUGGCUAUGUGAGAUUUACGAAUUUGAUGAUUUUAACUUAGGGUAUUUUGGCCUAACCGGGAAAAAUGGAAAUUCUGUGUAAAAGAGGAGGAAAUUUCCGACAUUUCAUCGGAGUCAAAUCUCGAAGAUCCUACGUAAUUUUAAUGCCAGUCGUUACGAACAGUUAUCGGCAGAUAGAAAAAUAGUUACAGCAACGUGUAAGUGCAAGGUAUCCAUGGUCAGUGUAAACAUGUUUGGUGUGCUGCUCCGUGAUGAAAACAAGCUUAAGCAAUGGCGACAUCAAACGGUGCACACUCGAAAAGUUACACAACUCUGAAUGACAUCACUGCACAAACUCGAGAUAUUUUAAACAGCAUGACUAUCAUACCUGGAUUAAGUUAUGGAGCAAGCCAUGGCGUGUUUUGUGCUUUUAUACCUCUGCACUGAUAUUGCCAUCAAGAGAUAUGGUGCAUACUAAGAAACCAUCUAAACAAGUUUGAUUCUUUGGAUGACAAAUGUUUUAUCUCCCCAUGAAAUGCUGCAGGUAUCAACAGUUGUGCACUUUUCAAAAAGUUGUAUGUUAAAUUCUGUUGAGUCCUGACUGUUAAGAUUGUUUGGCCUAGCUUGUUCUCAUGGUUUUCCAUGUACCAUGUUUGUUAGAAUCAUCAAAAUGGAAAGUUUUUAGGAAGAAACAGAAUCAAAUAGGAGUGCUGAAAUUCUCCAAUUUGGAUUAUGCUUUUAAAAUAAAAUAUAAUGGAUUCAAGCAGAAAUACUCAAAAUAUAGUAGACUCCAACACGGGAGCUGUUAGUAGAAACAGGAGCGAUAAG